rnacentral:rRNA from 1 species
CCUACGGGUGGCAGCAGUGGGGAAUAUUGCACAAUGGGGGCAACCCUGAUGCAGCUACGCCGCGUGUGUGAAGAAUUAUUUCGGUAUGUAAAGCUCUGUCAGCAGGGAAGAAAAUGACGUUACCUGACCAAAAAGCCCCGGCGAACUACGUGCCAGCAGCCGCGGUAAUACGUAGGGGGCAAGCGUUAUCCGGAUUUACUGGGUGUAACGGGAGCGUAGACGGCAGGUCAAGUCUGGAGUGAAAGGCGGGGGCUGAACCCCCGAACUGCUCUGGAAACUGCCAGGCUGGAGUGCAGGAGAGGUAAGUGGAAUUCCUAGUGUAGCAGUGAAAUGCGUAGAUAUUAGGAGGAACACCAGUGGCGAAGGCGGCUUACUGGAAUGUAACUGACGUUGAGGCUCGAAAGCGUGGGGAGCAAACAGGAUUAGAUACCCGAGUAGUC